CCGGACUCCUAGCAGCAUUCAGCGAGCUCUGGACAGUGGUUCAGUGGGAAACAGGCUGUCUUUGUAAGCCUAGUGAAGAUGGUUUCAUCCUCAAGAGAUGACGCACUUACCGAAGAUAACAGGAGAGGACGAAAGUGACCAUCAUCCUGGUUCUCCUAUAGACUGUCCAGGUUAUGGCACCAGAAGUCCUGGUUCCAGCAAAUCUCUCAGUCCCAGGCAAACCAGGACACCCAUCACCCCAGAUAAGAUCCCAAAGUUGAUGAGAAGACUGCGUCUUCAAGGUAAAGUAAAAGGUCCAAAGACACAGAGCUCAAAGGUAGAGGAGCCAGUAUCC